CGGCUGGUGUGCAUGCGGAAUUGAGAUUUGGGAUCUUCGGGGUUCUGCUUGCGCGCGUGAGAUACGGCGCCAAAUGCUACAGGAGGAUUUGUUUCCCUGUUUGAUCCCCGCUGAACAUGUUUCUUGCAGUGGAAGUGGCGGUAUUUCUUUCAGCAAACACUUUCCCGUGGGAGGUUUUUUUUAAGAAUCUUUGUACUCCGUUUAUCAUCUAGAUUGUCUCUACAGUUGAGCCUCGUGGGCCAUUGCAGGCAUUUCAUCGGCCCCGGUUGUUCUAUACGUCAAGACUCGGACCUAGUUCAGAAAGGGAGAUAGAGGUAUCUUCAAAGGGAAUCGAGGUCUGGUCUUAACUCUGU
rnacentral:sRNA from 1 species